GAGACCAGCAUCUCAGACGGGGCUCUGAGUCUGUCAGGAGGUCUGAGCUCUACCGUAUCAGCACAGCAAUCAUGUAAUUAUUCUUGUAAUAGCCUAUUAUAACUUCCUUUUUAUGAUAUAAAAAUAUCACGACUCCUCCAAAUCUCAGAGAACACAGAUGGGAUGAGUUUUAUUUUGAAUGUGCACAAAUCAACUCAAGGUUUGG